rnacentral:ncRNA from 1 species
ACUUAGUCCUAACCUUAUCGUUAACCUUUACUCAACAUAUACAUGCAAGUAUCCGCACCCCAGUGCAAAUGCCCCAACCCCUUACCAAGGUACAAGGAGCAAGCAUCAGGCACACCUACCUACUGUAGCCUAAAACGCCACGCCCCGCCACACCCCCACGGGUACUCAGCAGUAAUUAACAUUAAGCAAUAGGCGAAAGCCUGACUUAGUUAGAGUAACUAGGGUUGGUAAAUCUUGUGCCAGCCACCGCGGUCAUACAAGAGACCCAAGUUAACCACACACGGCGUAAAGAGUGGGCCCAAACUAUCACACCAAACUAGGAUCAAACCUUUCCCAAGCUGUCAUAAGCUCAAGGCACCUCCAAGCCCAACCUGAAAACGAUCUUAACACUCAUGACCCAUUCCCCCCACUAAAGCCAGGACACAAACUGGGAUUAGAUACCCCACUAUGCCUAGCCCUAAAUCUUGAUGUCCUCCAAACACAGACAUCCGCCCGAGAACUACGAGCACAAACGCUUAAAACUCUAAGGACUUGGCGGUACUCUACACCCACCUAGAGGAGCCUGUUCUAUAAUCGAUAACCCACGAUCCACCCGACCACUUCUUGCCAAAACAGCCUAUAUACCGCCGUCGCCAGCCCACCUCAUGAGAGCACAACAGUGAGCCCAACAGCCUACAAUUCGCUAACAAGACAGGUCGAGGUAUAGCCUAUGAAGUGGAAGAAAUGGGCUACAUUUUCUAAAAUAGACAACCCUAACGAAAGGGGACUUGAAACCUGUCCCUAGAAGGCGGAUUUAGCAGUAAAGCAGGAUAACCAAGCCUUCUUUAAGUUGGUCCUAGAGUACGUA